rnacentral:rRNA from 1 species
GACGAACGCUGGCGGCGUGCCUAAUACAUGCAAGUUGAGCGCUGAAGGUUGGUACUUGUACCAACUGGAUGAGCAGCGAACGGGUGAGUAACGCGUGGGGAAUCUGCCUUUGAGCGGGGGACAACAUUUGGAAACGAAUGCUAAUACCGCAUAAAAACUUUAAACACAAGUUUUAAGUUUGAAAGAUGCAAUUGCAUCACUCAAAGAUGAUCCCGCGUUGUAUUAGCUAGUUGGUGAGGUAAAGGCUCACCAAGGCGAUGAUACAUAGCCGACCUGAGAGGGUGAUCGGCCACAUUGGGACUGAGACACGGCCCAAACUCCUACGGGAGGCAGCAGUAGGGAAUCUUCGGCAAUGGACGAAAGUCUGACCGAGCAACGCCGCGGGAGUGAAGAAGGUUUUCGGAUCGUAAAACUCUGUUGGUAGAGAAGAACGUUGGUGAGAGUGGAAAGCUCACCAAGUGACGGUAACUACCCAGAAAGGGACGGCUAACUACGUG